rnacentral:rRNA from 1 species
UACGUAGGGUGCAAGCGUUAAUCGGAAUUACUGGGCGUAAAGCGUGCGUAGGCGGUUGCGCAAGACAGGUGUGAAAUCCCCGGGCUUAACCUGGGAAUUGCACUUGUGACUGUGCGGCUGGAGUGCGGCAGAGGGGGAUGGAAUUCCGCGUGUAGCAGUGAAAUGCGUAGAUAUGCGGAGGAACACCGAUGGCGAAGGCAGUCCCCUGGGCCUGCACUGACGCUCAUGCACGAAAGCGUGGGGAGCAAACAGG